UACGUAGGGUGCAAGCGUUAAUCGGAAUUACUGGGCGUAAAGCGUGCGCAGGCGGCUAUGCAAGACAGAUGUGAAAUCCCCGGGCUUAACCUGGGAACUGCAUUUGUGACUGCAUGGCCAGAGUACGGUAGAGGGGGAUGGAAUUCCGCGUGUAGCAGUGAAAUGCGUAGAUAUGCGGAGGAACACCGAUGGCGAAGGCAAUCCCCUGGACCUGUACUGACGCUCAUGCACGAAAGCGUGGGGAGCAAACAGG
rnacentral:rRNA from 1 species